rnacentral:rRNA from 1 species
UACAUGGGGUGCAAACGUUGCUCGGAAUUAUUGGGCGUAAAGCGCGCGUAGGCGGUUAUCUAAGUCGGAUGUGAAAGCCCUCGGCUUAACUGAGGAAGUGCACCCGAAACUGGAUAGCUAGAGUACGAAAGAGGGUCGCGGAAUUCCCGGUGUAGAGGUGAAAUUCGUAGAUAUCGGGAGGAACACCGGUGGCGAAGGCGGCAUCCUGGACCGGCAUUGACGCUGAGGAGCGAAAGCCAGGGGAGCAAACGGG